rnacentral:sRNA from 1 species
CCUGUGGUGUCAAACACUAGCAAAUACUCUGACCAAGGCAUCGUUAUCCCGUGGGAAUUGUCUGUCCUCUGUUGGGUACACAGGGUCUUGCUGAUCGAUGCCUAGUAGUAACCUUGGAACUCCGCAUCCCGUCAGCCGUAUCCCGAAGGUGCGAAUCAAAGCCGCGAAGAUACUCCGCAAAAAUGGCAAAGUACGGAGCACUCGAUUAUACAACUGGACUGGACUGGCGUUGCAUGCGAAAUGAGUAAUUAUCAAGCUCUUUGGACUUGUAUUCGGGGAAAAGUUUCAUCCUGAUAAAAUCCUUCCGACGGGAUGACGAUCUCGAUUUCGCCCCUUGACUCUUCAAGAGGCUGAAGAUUGGGUGAUCGGCUCGAAUUUUGACCCGCAUUGACCAUUUUACUUCAAUACCCAGCAACGGUGAUGUCGUACGUCUCUGCAGACUGCAGGGCUUGGGAGUUUGAGUCGUUGGCAUCGACAACAUUAUGAUCCAAGUAGAUUACUGACGUACUCGCGAUAAGACACCAUCCUCCUGUUCUUGUCAUAUGAACUGCAGAGUCUGGAUGGACGGAUUCACUCAGUCCUACAUACCCAUAAAACAUUACUUCAUAAACCGCUCUGGGGAUCUUAGGUUUUUGAGGAGU